rnacentral:rRNA from 1 species
GAUGAACGCUGGCGGCGUGCCUAAUACAUGCAAGUAGAACGCUGAAGGAAGGAGCUUGCUCUUUCCGGGUGAGUUGCGAACGGGUGAGUAACGCGUAGGUAACCUGCCUGGUAGCGGGGGAUAACUAUUGGAAACGAUAGCUAAUACCGCAUAACAGUAGAUGUUGCAUGAUAUCUACUUAAAAGGUGCAAUUGCACCACUACCAGAUGGACCUGCGUUGUAUUAGCUAGUUGGUGAGGUAACGGCUCACCAAGGCGACGAUACAUAGCCGACCUGAGAGGGUGAUCGGCCACACUGGGACUGAGACACGGCCCAGACUCCUACGGGAGGCAGCAGUAGGGAAUCUUCGGCAAUGGACGGAAGUCUGACCGAGCAACGCCGCGUGAGUGAAGAAGGUUUUCGGGUCGUAAAGCUCUGUUGUAAGAGAAGAACGAGUGUGAGAGUGGAAAGUUCACACUGUGACGGUAUCUUACCAGAAAGGGACGGCUAACUACGUG